rnacentral:RNase_MRP_RNA from 17 species
UUUCUGGGAAAGCCCCCGGACGUUUUCGUAGAGAAGAUACCGCGCCAGCA